rnacentral:rRNA from 1 species
UGGAGAGUUUGAUCCUGGCUCAGAUUGAACGCUGGCGGCAGGCCUAACACAUGCAAGUCGAACGGUAACAGAGAGCAGCUUGCUGCUCUGCUGACGAGUGGCGGACGGGUGAGUAAUGUCUGGGAAACUGCCUGAUGGAGGGGGAUAACUACUGGAAACGGUAGCUAAUACCGCAUAACGUCUACGGACCAAAGUGGGGGACCUUCGGGCCUCAUGCCAUCAGAUGUGCCCAGAUGGGAUUAGCUAGUAGGUGGGGUAACGGCUCACCUAGGCGACGAUCCCUAGCUGGUCUGAGAGGAUGACCAGCCACACUGGAACUGAGACACGGUCCAGACUCCUACGGGAGGCAGCAGUGGGGAAUAUUGCACAAUGGGCGCAAGCCUGAUGCAGCCAUGCCGCGUGUAUGAAGAAGGCCUUCGGGUUGUAAAGUACUUUCAGCGGGGAGGAAGGCGUUGUGGUUAAUAACCGCAGCGAUUGACGUUACCCGCAGAAGAAGCACCGGCUAACUCCGUGCCAGCAGCCGCGGUA